UUAACAAGAUAAUAACUAAUUCAUAUAUAAAUUCACAAAUAAUCCACCGUAUAAGAUAAUUCCCGCCACAACUUGAAAUUCUAAACUCACAUCAAACCUAAAUCAAUAGAAACGAACAUAGAACGUUAAAAUGACAUUCAAAAAAUUUAAAAGAAUUGAAUGUACCAUAAACGCCCUCGGAGAUCUCGAGAAGCCCAUACGGCGGCUUCCGAAAGGACAAUUUUCGAAACAAUGCCAUACAACAGCACCAGUGAUCGGCGCAGUCACCUCAAUUCCGAAAUCUAGAACACCACAAGACACAGAACAAAAUCAAGGUUCCUCAAGUUCAAAGCCACUGAUACACGCAUAUACGUACAUAGAUGAUUAUACGCAGUAUUGCGCCCGGUAAUGAUGAAAAUACGCGUAUAUACGUCUACGAAUUUUAGAGUUCAGAGCUUGCUUUCGGUGGAAGGAAC
rnacentral:lncRNA from 1 species